AGCAGUAUGGCGAAAGCGUCGUUUUUGGGUGUGGUCAGUUUCGGACGUUUCGCCCCGGAUUGGGGUUCGGGCAGCAUUACCAUGUUGACCGUCAUGGUUAACUUGCCCCAAAACAGUUGAGAUUAUCUGUCCUAAAUGAAAUGCAUACAAACUCAUAUACAGGUCCUAGACUACUAGAAGGUACAGGAACUUAGCUAAGAGAAGGAUUCAUUUUUGGAACAGAUGGAGACGUGAGUAUUUAGCUGAUUUGAGAGAGCAUCAUAAACUAAGUACGAAAAAUGGAAAUCGGAAGGUAAGUAUAGGUGAUGUUGUUUUGAUGUAUGAAGAAAAUGUAAAGAGAGGUAAAUGGAGGGUAGGAAGGAUUGAAAGUUUAGUUACGGGUAGAGACCAGAAAGUUAGAGGAGCACGUGUAAAAGUAAAUGCAAGGGAGACAGGAAGGACGGUGUACUUAAAUAGACCGUUGCAAAAGUUAUAUCCUAUAGAGUUAGGUGAGAGUGAAAGAAAGGAUAAUAAAGUCGAAUGGGUAUGAUAACCAGAAAGGAAAGAAGAAAAUGAAUGAGAAAGGAAAGAUCCAAAGGAAUGAGAAAGACGCAGAGAAGGGUAAGGUGGAAAGCUGUGUCCGUAGUAAUGGACCUAAGAGAGCAGCUGCUUUGGAUGGAGAAACAGACUUAUGCUUGAGCCAUGAUAGCUCAAGGGGGGAGUGUCAAAUAUUUUAUAAUUAAUCCUAGUAAAACAUAAAUGAUUGUUGCACUUGUAAUUUAAUAGUUAAAUUGAGAUCAAUGAACAAUGCAUAAUGUAAGGCGGCAACUUCCGGACGACGCCAACAUAAUUGGACGGUAAUAAUAUAGUUGAUCGACAAAUGUUUGUAAUUCGAUUGGAAAAGAUUGUUGUAUUGAAUGUGAU